GUUAUUCAACACUCUUUUCUGAUACUUGAAAUACAGCUGUACUCAAUUUAUUAGAAAGAUGUUAAAAAGUUUAGAGUUUGCAUAGAGUCACUCCAUGGCGCAUCAAAUUGAUUAAGUAAAUGAACAGGGGAAACGAGCAGCGCAAAUGAAAUGAAUUAGAGAGACAGACUUUCGAGAUGGAGCUGACAUUACUGUAAGAGAUGUUCAUAUAUAUAUUGUUGUAAUGGCUGUCUGGCUGCCUUGCUCUAGCUAUCUUCAUCACACACACUCAUUCUCUCUCUUACUAGCUCUCUCUCUCUCUCUCUCUCUUUCUAUAAUGUGUGACAGGGAACAUGUUUGGCUGUCUGCUGGCCACAACCGCAUUAUUUUGGCUACGAUCUGGUGUCUGUUGCUGUUUGCCGUUCCAUCUAACACUAAUGGGCGCCCAAGCCAUGCGGCCCCGCCACAGCCAGUCACAGCAACAGCAACAGCAACAGUCACAGUCACAGUCGCAGUCAGAGUCACAGUCAUUAUGGGAGUCACGUUGAGAGAGCAGGCAACGGGCCCAGGCUCAAGGCAAAUGCUCUCUAUAUACAGCUGUGCGUCAGCAGCCGCUGCAGCUGCUGCUGUUCUGCUGGCUAAUAGAAAGGCUGGCAUCGAACAACAACAGCAAAAAAUGUAUGUAUAAAUCGGAAUGAAAGGAAUGAAAAGAGCUAACAACAAUGGCAGUGGCUCACAUCAGGCCACAGGCAGAACAAGGCACAGGUGCAUAUGCUGCGCCUGCUGUUGCGCCUGCUGCCGCUGUUGCCGCUGCUGCUGUUGCUCCAUUAUGCCGUCCUUGGACAAACUUUGCCCUUGCCCUCGGCCAGCUUAUAGAGAGUGCAUCAUGUUGCCGAUAUAUGGUUUCCAAAGUUCAUGAUUCACAAAAGUUUAAUUCCAUUCAUUCAGCCACUAAUGGGAAAGCUAAGCGUUUGUAAUUUUAGAAUACAUUGUAUAAUCUGAAAAGAGCUAUUCUCUAUAGCUUCCAUUUAAUAAUUGAACUAAGACUAGAA